rnacentral:rRNA from 1 species
AUUGAACGCUGGCGGCAGGCUUAACACAUGCAAGUCGAGCGAGCGGCGGACGGGUGAGUAAUGUCUGGGAAACUGCCUGAUGGAGGGGGAUAACUACUGGAAACGGUAGCUAAUACCGCAUACCAUCAGAUGUGCCCAGAUGGGAUUAGCUAGUGGGUGGGGUAAUGGCUCACUUAGGCGACGAUCCCUAGCUGGUCUGAGAGGAUGACCAGCCAAACGGGAACUGAGACACGGCCCAGACUCCUACGGGAGGCAGAAGGGGGGAAUAUUGCACAAUGGGGGCAAGCCGGAUGCAGCCAUGCCGGGGGUGUGAAGAAGGCCUUCGGGUUGUAAAGCACUUUCAGCGAGGAGGCGUUACUCGCAGAAGAAGCACCGGCUAACUCCGUGCCAGCAGCCGCGGUAAUUC